CUGGCUCAGGAUGAACGCUAGCUACAGGCUUAACACAUGCAAGUCGAGGGGCAGCAUGAAGUUGCUUGCAAACUUGAUGGCGACCGGCGCACGGGUGAGUAACGCGUAUCCAACCUUCCCCUUAGUAGCGGAUAGCCCGGCGAAAGUCGGAUUAAUACGCUAUGUUCUUCGUAGAGGACAUCUGAAAUGAAGCAAAGGCUUGCCGCUAAGGGAUGGGGAUGCGUCUGAUUAGGCAGUAGGCGGGGUAACGGCCCACCUAGCCGACGAUCAGUAGGGGUUCUGAGAGGAAGGUCCCCCACAUUGGAACUGAGACACGGUCCAAACUCCUACGGGAGGCAGCAGUGAGGAAUAUUGGUCAAUGGGCGCGAGCCUGAACCAGCCAAGUAGCGUGCAGGAUGACGGCCCUAUGGGUUGUAAACUGCUUUUAUACAGGGAUAAAGUGCGCCACGUGUGGUGUUUUGUAGGUACUGUAUGAAUAAGGACCGGCUAAUUCCGUGCCAGCAGCCGC
rnacentral:rRNA from 1 species